rnacentral:tRNA from 1 species
GGUAGUGUACCCCGAUAGGUAAGGGGCUGUGUUGCAGUGAUGUGAGUUCGAUUCUCACCCUACCG